UAUCCGAGUAAGUGACGAUGGCAGUGUUGGUGUAAAAGCGUUUUCUAUUACACUCUCGAUUGUCCUUCAAUUUGGGUAUUCGAAUGGCGAUUUUUCGAUAUCAACCACGAAGAGCGAAUGUAAUUUCAACAUUGGCUCGCUGGAUGUCGACUUCCAUGGGGGUGCUAGAUGUGUAAUGAUGAAAUUAUAAAAGUCAACGAAAAACUGACAGAAGUUGUUACAGUUUUUAAACAGUUGUGCUAUUAUUUCAUCGUCAUCAUUAGUAUCAUUAUUGCCAUUACAAUCGCCAUUAUUCUCUGUGGCGUAGGUAAUCGCAGUGGAGCCAUUGCAAAUCCCAAGGACCCGGGGCAAUUAGGGGCUCGUUCAGUAAUGCCUAAAAUUGAUAAAUUAAAGAAAAAAAUUAAUACUCAACUCUUUAAAAGAAAAAAAAAAUGGCCAGCAAACCCCUCAAUAAUAUUUAGGUUUUAGAGGCAAUAAUUGAUAACUUUAUUUUAAUUUAUGGUACAAGGUAGGCCUAAAGUAAGAAACAUUUAUUUUUAAUGUUAUACAUUUUCCAUACUCUUUUUCUUUGACAAAAAGAUGUUGUAUGCCCAUAUAUAGACAUGAUGUGCCUAUAUAUGCUUAUUGCCAUAUUAAACAUGUCACAAGUUUUGUCAAAUGAAAUUUGAUUGUCUAGACAGGGUUCAACAGUUUAUUUUUAUAUUGUGAUUUUGUAAAUGAUGAAUAUAGUGGUCGAUUCUCUUGAACGGUUAUUGAUCAAAAUAACAGAUAUGUUGGGACGGUCUCGUGUAGAUCUAGGGAAUAAUUUGUAAAUGAUAACAUUUAUAAAAAUUCACAGGCUCAAAAUAUAGUUUAUAUUUUUUUUUGUUUUUUCAUUACAUUUAUUCUGUCUUCCUGUCUAGCAUCAGAUGAAUUAUACUUGGCUUUAAGCAUAAUAUAUAUUUUUUUUAUGCAGUACUUCUAUUUCUUUUAGAUGUUUAAUAUUUUAAAUUUUUUACUCCAUACUUUCUUAGGCAUUCUUGUAAUUUGGGAUUUAAUUUUUAAUAAUCUAGCAUUGGGAAUAAGAAUUUUAUUUGUUCCAAGUUCACAAUCACAAUAAAUGUAUCGUGUAUAUUUUAACUUAAAAACACAUUAUAACACUGAGCCUUGAUGUUAACAAAUGAAGUCAAAAGUAACAAGUAUUCCAUCUUAACAUAAUACUUUAUAUUAAAUUAUCAAUGCUAGAAAUACAAAUUGAGAUUUUUUUUUAUAGUCAGGCAGUACUAUAACAAUAUCAAUGAAUAAUAAAAUGAUAAACAAAUAUUAACAGUAUACAAAUACUGUGUUAUAAGUAACAGGGUAGCAAUACAGUUAAUAAUGAUAUUGAUAAUAUUUAGAGCAACAACACUACAAUCACAAUAAGAUCAUCAAUGGGAACCAGUGUGGUCUCAUAUUGUAUGAACAGUAUUAAUGAUGCACUACAAAUUGCGAUGACAAUAUGUACUUAAUAUGUACUUUAUGCUGUCCAGAUUAACAGAUUUUCUUUGAUGAAAAACUGUUGUACGCACAUAUAUAGUCAUGAUGUGUCUAUAUAUGGUCAUGAUGUGAUGUCAUCAUGACCAUAUAAAGGCAUGUCACAUGUUUUUGUCAAACAAAAUUUGAUAGUCUG